UACAGGGGGGGCAAGCGUUGUUCGGAAUUACUGGGCGUAAAGGGCGCGUAGGCGGCCGCCUAAGUCAGACGUGAAAUCCCUCGGCUCAACCGGGGAACUGCGUCUGAUACUGGGUGGCUUGAAUUCGGGAGAGGGAUGUGGAAUUCCAGGUGUAGCGGUGAAAUGCGUAGAUAUAGGAAGGAACACCAGUGGCGAAGGCGACCACCUGGACUGAUACUGACACUGAGGUGCGAAAGCGUGGGGAGCAAACAGG
rnacentral:rRNA from 1 species